GCAUUGCAAAGCGGGGUGCAAAGAGGUGCGGGGGUGCAAGGAGGCAGAAGGUGCCAUGGAAAGGGGGGUGUGCAGCAAGGUGGGGGACACGCAGUGCAAGGGGGGGUGCAAAAGGGAGGGAGAGAAAGCGGAUCUGUGGGCAGGCUGGGUUGGUGCCUGGCGCGGGAGGCAGUAGGCAUCGGCUGCUAUUGCAGGCCAACACGCUGCUGUAACCCCGUGUCUGUGCCUGUCCCCCCGGCACCUCCCUGGCCUUCACCAGGGUGCCAGGGUGGCCUGAGCCACUGGAAAUCUGAUAAGGCUCAAAUAAAACCGCAGGAGGAGCGCGGGGGUGGCUCAGCACCGCGCCUGGGCUCGGCCACCCUCCUCUCUUGGCUCUGCUGUGGACUUCCUGAGCAUCGCGCGUGCAACCGGAGCUCUCACGGCCGGCGGGAGUUUUGAACUGAUUUAAUAGCUAAACGUUACACACGUAUUAUCCUUUUGGCAAAGACGGCACGGGCUCCCGAAGCGCCCGAGGUGGGGUGUCCUCGGGGAAAGCUGCCCCGUUCACCCUCCCGGCAGAGCUGGGCACGGGGAGGAAACAUCGGUUGCGCUGCCGUGACGUGGUGGAAGCGAUCGACAGCAAACGUGACCAGUGAAUUCGAGUGAAUCACCGGCGGGAGCGGGAACCAGCUAGGUGUGUCAGCGCUUCCCUUCCGCUCGGGUACAUUCUGACUGAUCAAAUUAAGCUGGUUUAGCUGUUAAGCAAGAAAUCCUGAGCGUUUUCCAUUUUGAAAGAGCUUAGUCAUAUCUGGGUGAGAUCCGCGACCAUUACACCCAGUACGUGCUUGGGCUGAAGCGGGGCUGUGCGCUGGAUGCACGACGGGCGCGUGUUCAGGAGAGCGCACCGGGGCUGGCUCUCGCUCAGAAACGGUUCCCAGGAGCUAAAACCGGUACAACGUUCCCGUGAAAGAACUGGGUCAGAUUUUUCCACCUCCUCACGUCUGGAUCAGUCAGCAGCCGUGGGUCGGCCUGGACUGCCUAGUUCCCGGCUCUCGCACGUUUGCCAGCGGGGGAUGCAGCAUCAGAUUAACUUCUCAUGACUUUGGUAGCCUACUUUCGUGGCCCGCUUGGCUGAAUAAAACCGGCAGGACAGAGGCUUUCCAAGCUAUUGAACAGGCUGGUGCUGUGGGGGUGGGUUAAGUUGGUGCAAUUUCUAGAAAAAGUGGAAAGAUACUCCUACCUCCUCCUGAUCAGGACACACAAAUUUGGAGAUGCACUGCUGAAUCUGUGUCCCCAAGUAAAUUGGUCAACGCUGCAGUGCUCUGACAGUGGCAAAUGUCCCUGGCAGAGCCUUGAGGCCUGAGCUGCCUUGGUGCUCUUUCACUUAUUCCUAACUCAUGUGUUAGGAGCGUGGUCCAGCUACCUGCGGCUUUUUAUGAGCCAGCAGAGAUGCCCACUGCGCGUCUGAGAACUUGCACCACCUUCGCACCAGGAGGGCACGUAAUUAGGUUUAAGCUUCUUAACCCGCAAAGGGAGAGCAAUACAACUGCAUGAAAUGGGCAGAUGGAGCUUUAAAAAUGUCCAAUCAAGCAAAUUACGUAAGUUAUAAUACACCAGAGCUUCGCUUAUUGUGUCUUGGAGAACAAAGCCAGACACUGCGUAUAUAGCUGCCUCUAUCUAAGUUCAUCGUUAUCUCCCUCGAGCCCUGGAGACGCUCCAUGCUGCUGUCCUUUGAGCAGCCACGCAGCUGGGCCGUUUUUCUGGCGCAGACACCCGCGCGGCCCCUCUUGCCUCCAGGCACGCUAAUACAGCAUCCAGCAAGUGCCAGGAGUCGCGUUUGCGUGUAAAUCACGCAGAAAUCAGCCCUCAUGUUGGGUGAAUCUGCAGCAAAGCUUUGCUCUUCCAUAGUUUGAUCAGAGGGUCUCAAAGUUUUCCAGCAGACGUUAAGCAAGCAAAAGGUAGUUAUCAUUUACAUUGCACAGAGAGGUAAACCUGGACAGAAACACCAGGAGGGCUGUGUUUUCCGAAGUCAUGCAAGGAAUGAGUGGCCAAUUUGUUCAGAGAAACCAGGAGUGGGGACCUUGCUGUACUUGCUGGCUGAAGACCACGUGGCUACAAGUAUGUUUUUAUACAUUUAUAGGGUCAUUCCUACAUUAGACCUUGCUGUUUCUUUCUCACCCUUUGCAUUUAUUCAAUAAAGAUUAACUGAGCACCUCUGCCUCCCUA